rnacentral:lncRNA from 1 species
UAAUAAUUAAAUAAUAAUAAUUUUUAAAAAAUAAAUUAUAUUGUUAUGAAGAUAUUUUAUAGUUUUUCUUAUAUUUUUAUAAAUGAUCAAUAAAAUAAAUAAUGAGAUGUGAAUCUAGGUUAUUAAGAUUUUAAAACUUUUUUAUGUAAAUUUUUUAUGAAUAUAUUUUUACAUAAGAUUCUUCCACUCACAUUACAAAUGUGUUAUAAUUUAAU